ensembl:lncRNA
GCAGCAUGUGCUGGCUGGAGUCCAUGGGUAACUCGUACUUCAGCACCAGGGUCACUGUGCUUAUUUGGCUCUUGCACUUAGGUGAUGAUGGUGGUAACCUUCUUCCCAAAUCAUGCAAAGAUGCCACAGUAGAGGAAGAAAUUAUGACGCUAAUACUGAUUGCCCUGGAGACAAGACUCAAAUGCACUCAUUUCUCCCUUUACUGUUUUUCUGUAGGGUGAAGCUGGUCCUCCUGGUCCUGCUGGUUCUAGUGGUAGUCCUGGAGAGAGAGGAGAACCUGGUCCUCAGGGAAAUGCUGGGCCACCCGGGCCUCAGGGCCCUCCUGGAAGAGCUGGAAGCCCUGGCAACAAGGGUGAAAUGGGACCUGCUGGUGUUCCUGGUGCUCCUGGUCUGCCAGGAGGCCGUGGUCUUCCUGGUCCUCCAGGUACAAGUGGAAGCCCUGGAGCAAAAGGCACUCCGGGAGAACCUGGUAAGAAUGGUGCAAAAGGAGAGCCAGGCCCAAAAGGCGAGCGUGGUGAAAACGGCACCCCAGGAGCUCCUGGACCUCCUGGUGAGGAAGGCAAAAGAGGUGCAAAUGGUGAACCUGGCCAGAAUGGUGUACCUGGUACCCCUGGAGAAAGGGGCUCCCCCGGUUUCCGUGGCUUACCCGGUAGCAAUGGACUUCCAGGUGAAAAGGGUCCUGCAGGCGAACGUGGUAGUCCAGGUCCUCCUGGCCCCAGCGGACCCGCAGGAGAGCGUGGACAAGAUGGAGGCCCAGGUCUUCCCGGAAUGAGAGUAAGACAGGACGUUUCCAAGAAAAUGUGAUAAACUCUGUUAGAGAUGCCUCAUCUGAGCUGAUACAACAGAGGAGUCCACUUAGAAAAUUUUUCUAUUAAUUCCUUAAAGUAAAGUAGACUACAUAUAUUCAUAGUGCAAUAGAUAACGGUGCAGAGACACGGGGCAUUU